UUUCUCAUCAAUCUGAGCCCGUUUCUCCCUCCCUGGGUCAUUUAAUGAUCCAUUGCCUCUUGAAUUCGGUCUUAAAAAUUGCUUUUCCGGCAGAGGUUGUCUGGGAAUGGUGAUGGUGAGCUGAUCGCUGACAAGUUCUCACUACUAUGCCGCUGGAGAAAGGUAUCUGAAAGACACUGGGUUGUAUCUGGAACAAGCUGUGUGAAGUUUCACCCAGGUGUUUGGCAGAGAUGGGCAGAUGAAGAUUGCAGCUGCUUUGUACGCUGGUACGUGCUGAACAUAAGUCCACAGAAGUGAAGAACAAACUCUAGAAAACUGAUCUGGGAAGAACAAGUCCAGGAAGAACUGAAGGCAAUAGAUUUCUUAUCUUGACAAAAUGCUUUGAGAGGUUUUGUAUUUUGAUAAAAUGCUUAUGGGGGGGGAGAGAAACAAGCAUGCAUGGACAGCAUAUGAAAAGCACACAAGUCUGCUUGGACAUGGGCACAUAAGGAGGGUCUUCUUGGACCUGUGGCAUGUGCCAGAUGAAGCUUUCCGCGGUGUGAAUACACGCCUCAGUGUGGGAGUGUUUGGUUUAUGGUCACUUUCAUGUUGCUGCUUUGUACCACUUUGAAGCUAGAUUUUUCACAACAUUGUUAAUUUGGGGACAUUUAACCACAGUGAACCUGGCAUCUUCUUUUCACCUGUUGCAACCUUUGUGGAUGGGUUCCCCCCCCCCCAUUUUCAGAGCUUUAGCUGGCCAUCCUUUCCCCCAAGAGAUUAAGUGUCCUUUUUUUUUUUUUUGAGCUUUCCUCUUCCUGAAUCCAUUGAUUGGAUUUUUUUUCUCUCCUUCCCCUGUACAAUAGUCGUCCAAGCCAUUUCUUCACUCUUGAGAAGAGCAACUGCCCGCAAAAAUCCUAUCAUUUUAUCCUCACAAUUUGCAGAGGUUGUUGGUUCGUGGAGGAAAACCUAGAAGAACUUUGUGGGAUUCUUUUGAUUUCUUACUUUUUUGUGUCAUCUUUGCAAUCAGAGUAAUGUCUUAAAAUUUUUGACAAACCACCAGGCAAAUUUUGGAUCUCAGAAUAUCUACUGACAAACAUAGAGGAAGGUUGUUGCUCUUUGUUUUAUUUUAUUAUGAGAACGAGUGGGAUUUUUGGUUCUCCAUGAUCAUGGACAGCUUAGGAACAAUAUACUCCUUGGAGGAAAAAAAUAUAUAUCUGUAUUCUCUCCUACUGCUCAACUGGAAAGAAAGACAGUGUAAUUCCUGUUUUGUGGGGAGGGGGUUAAUUUAUUAUUUCUAUUUAUUAUUUCUAGGUUGCCAGUAGUUUUAAAAGUGUUUUGCAGGGGAUGGAAGGGGUUAAACAGGCUGGUGAUAUAGAAGUGUCCUGUCACAGACUGGUGUGCAGAAUAUAUAUGUCUUUUUCCACCUGGAAUUCAUAACCAGCAAAGGAACUUACCUUGUAUAAAAUGUGUAAAGAGAAAGUAAUGUUACAAUUUGAGAGUUCCCAGACAUUGAAAACAUCUGCAGCCGUUACAUCCAGCAGUUUGGCUACUAUUUUCAGCAGAGGGAAACAAAAUGAGGGACUGGAUGCUAUUGCAAACUAAAUUUAAUAGAAAAAUAAGGCCUUUGUUCCUCUCUUAUCCCUGGAUUCAGGGGUUGGCUCAGGUAUGUCUGCAGAGAUAGUCAAGAUGGGUGCUGCAGCCAUGUGUUCAAAGCACUCUCAUUUUUUAAUACACAUUGAUGCAUGUUUAAAAGGGGGGCUUUGAUGGCAUGAUUGCAGUUGACAUUAUUUUUUGAUUUCCCACCAUGUGGACAGCCCUGGCUUGGCUUCUGGCAGUUUUCUCGGUGUCAUUUAACUCAUUUAGCUAAUUAUGAGGGCUAACAUAUUUUAACACAAGAAACAUACAAUUCUGCACAUCUUUCUGCCUCAAAUGGAUUCUGAAUCCAUUUACUUGAAAGGUAUCAAGUAAAAGGUAAAGCCAGCUCAAAUUUGUUACCUGCCCAGAAUCACAUCUGCAACAUGGGUGGCCAUAUAAAUCAACCUAAAACAAACAAACAAAUGGAGAAAUAAAAUAUCUCUAAUAUUGUUGACUGAAAUAGCCAUCAAGGAGAAUAGGUGUAUAUUGAAUUGAUAAUCUGAUGCUCCGUUGCCCGCCCCUAAUUAUUUUUACCUAGCAUUGAGGUACAUAGUAAAAAUGAUCACAUGUCAAUGAAACCUGAAAUACAUCUGGUUGCACAGCAGGGCAAUUGGAUGUGGAAUACAUUAUUUGUUUGUUUAUUUGAUUGAUUGAUUUGCCAUUGUUGUUCCUUCAACCAAAAAUAACACCCCAGGCAGCACAUAAUAUAAUACAAUUACAAUUUGAACUAUAAAACUGGCCAAUUAAACCCAUAACAAAUUAGAGCAUAUCAGUCAGAAAUAAAUAACAAGUCCCCAUCAUAAUCUGCCAUAAUGCAUGGAGAACUCAUCAAAUUUGAUCAGCUCAGAUCAUAGCUGGCACACCAGUGCAAAAGCCCUCUUAACUAUCUCUGAACCUACUAACAGUGGAAAAUGUAAGAACAUUCCCAAACUGCAAAGGACUGCAUAUUUGUUAGGAUGUGCCUCAGUGGAGGAAAUAAAAUUCUGAUCUGUUUCUAAAAUUGAAAUCCUCCAGUACUAUAAAUUUAGAGUAAUACACUGCCAAACCUGAACAUAUUCCUGCUAGCAUUAAGGGGCCCUGGUGGCACAGCGGUUAGAAUGCAGUAUUGCAGGCUAACUCUGCCCACAGGCUUGAGUUUGAUCCUUAUGGGGCUCAAGGUUGACUCAGCCUUCCAUCCUUCCGAGGUCAGUAAAAUGAGGAUCCAGAUUGUUGGGAGCAAUAUGCUGACAUUGUAACCUGAUCAGAGAGUGCUGUAAAACAUUACGGAAUGGUAUAUAAUUCUGCUAUUGCUAUUACUAUUCAUAGAAAUCUUGUAGAGAGCAGAGGGAAUUAAUUUGAAGGACAGAAGGGAGACCCACUCCCAAAGAAAUUGUCAGUAAAAAGGGGUCUGAGUCCAGGCCAAGAAUGUUGCAUGAGUAAACAUCACAUAAAAAUAAAGGCAAGGAGAUAGGAAAGAUAUUGCAAGAUUCUGUUAGUAUAGCUUUAAAAUUCUGAUCCAUAUGGCAUUGGUUUUCUAGGCUGGUCUACCUUGAAGGGUUGAUAAUAGUCCCCUUGCAGUAUUCCUAAAUUGUUCAGGGAAUCUAAAUGUUCAAGUCACAAUGGUAAAUUGGUUAGAUUGAGCAUCUUGGUCACCACAAUGCAUUUCUGUGGCCACUCAUUCUUUCUGCUCUCCAGUCCUACUUGCUUCAUCACCAAGAAGGUAAGCAGACAGAACUAAUGGAGGGGAUUAAAUUCUUCCUUUUUAUCUGAUAGUUCUUCAUGGUACAUGAUAAUAAAUGCUUUAAUAAGACCUCACCUGAUACAUUGAAGAGUAAGGAUUUAGACCAUUGCCAUGGUUACUUUGACUUCCUUGAGUAGCCUGCAACCUGAAAGAUCCUUCAAGAGAAGAUUUUCCAUUGCAGCUUAAAACCAAUUAAACUCUCAGUUUAAACUAGCUUAAACAAAAGUGAUUAAAUUAGUGUCUGAAUACUAAUUCUGCAUAUCAUUGCUUAUCCUAAAAAGAAAAAAUAGGAUGGAGGUGUAAAUAUGCAUUUUUGUUUUAAAAUUAAAAGUGUGUGUGUGUGUGUGUGUGUGUGUGUGUGUAUGUGUAUAUGUAUGUGUAUAUGUAUGUAUAUAUAUAUAUGCAUGACUUUCCCAGAAGGAUUAAAAUAGAAAGAAGUAUACUUCCAGGAGCCCAUCCCUUUAGUCUGGUCAGUAGAAAAAGCUGUUGACCUUUGAAAAUGUAUUUUCUACCCAACCAUUACAAAUCCCAAAGCUAUAUCUGCUUUUGCAUUUGGCUAUGUCAAUGGCUGGUGAUGGAGUGGAGUGAUUUGAAGACAAAACAGGAUAUCAAUCAAAUGAAGACAUACACGAAUCAAUCCAUUUUUAGACAAAAUAUUUUGCAGUUUUUUAUUAGCUUAUUUCCUGAUUUUAGAAAAUUUAAAUGAUUUAGUCACCUGAAAUAAUCAAUUGUGUCUUAAAAGCACUUUUUUCCGUACUAUCAAUAUUAAAACAUGAGGCUUUACAGAUAAUUUUAUCUGAAUGGAAACAAUUUAACUUGGAUUUACAGCAGAACUUUAUUUUUGUGGAUGACAAGGUUGCUGCUGACACACAACUCAAAAGAAUUUUGCUUUAUAGGCAUCUAGAAAAUAGUUUCUGUCUACUCAUGAAAAUCGUAAAUGGCUGGUUUCACACAUUAACUAUGAUUUAGCUGACCAUUGUUGAAUAAGCCACAAAUGGUUGGAUCUAUGGAACACACAAUGCCAAAACCAAAGAAGACACAGUAUAGCUUUGCUCAGUGUGUGAAUGAUGUCAAUGUAUAUGUGCCAUAACUGUCAGUAGUAAUAAAAAAAAAAUACUUUGAA